UACCAGGCCUUGACAUGCCCUCUAUGAGACCCAGAGAUGGGUUUCUUCACUUCGGGUGGGAGGAGCACAGGUGCUGCAUGGCUGUCGUCAGCUCGUGUCGUGAGAUGUUGGGUUAAGUCCCGCAACGAGCGCAACCCUCGUCCUCUGUUGCUAACAGGUAAUGCUGAGAACUCUGAGGAAACUGCCGGUGAUAAGCCGGAGGAAGGUGGGGAUGACGUCAAGUCCUCAUGGCCCUUACGGCCUGGGCUACACACGUGUUACAAUGGCGGUGACAAUGCGCUGCUAACCCGCGAGGGUACGCUAAUCGCAAAAAGUCGCCUCAGUUCGGAUUGUACUCUGCAACUCGAGUACAUGAAGCUGGAAUCGCUAGUAAUCGCACAUCAGCUCGGCGCGGUGAAUACGUUCCCGGGUCUUGUACACACCGCCCGUCACACCAUGGAAGUCGGUUCCGCCUUAAGCUGUAUUGCUAACCGCAAGGAUGCGUACAA
rnacentral:rRNA from 1 species